rnacentral:rRNA from 1 species
AUGGCGGGUGCAAGGAACAAGUUCACGCAACCGGAUGAAGAAACACCCUUUGGACGACACCUGAAGGAAGUUACCAAGUACCUGAACAUCGGAGUACCAAGCUUCACCAGGACCUAUAACGCCACCUUACCUGAAGAAGAGCGCUGGAUGAAUCAAGUACAAGUUCCAAGAAGGACGUUCAUGCCCAUUGUCGGUGUCAAAACCGGCGGAUCUCGGGUAGGGGGUCCCGAUCUGUGCGUCAAGGCUGAUGGUAACAGGAAGCAUGGGACACAGAUGUUGGUUCUGGCCCUCUCGAUGGAGAGUAUCCGGAUUGCCGCGCUUGCUACUUCGAAUCCCUAG